UCACCUCACCACCACACAAUCAUUGAAACAAAUUAUGAAUCCCAUAGAAAGGUUUUUGAGUGCAUUGUUUCUCUUCCUUGUUUUUCCUUCUUGCUUAUCUAUUGACAUCAUAGCUCCAAACCAAUCAAUCAAAGAUGGAGAUGUUCUGGUCUCUAGUGGACAAAGCUAUGAACUCGGGUUCUUUAGCUCAGGCAUCGUUUCUACUCGUCGUUAUGUGGGAAUUUGGUACCGUAAGGUUUCAGAACGAACUGUUGUAUGGGUGGCAAAUAGAGAUAAUCCUAUCAAUGGUACCUCCGGAGUCCUAACUAUCAACAAACAAGGUAACCUUGUAAUUUAUGAAAACAACCGAAGUAGUGUUCCUGUUUGGUCUUCAAAUGUUCCAGCCUCAAUAUCAAUGACAAAUUGCACGGCUCAGCUCCUGGAUUCAGGAAACUUGGUCUUGGUUCAACAGGAUAGCAAAGGGAUCUUGUGGCAGAGUUUUGAUCAUGGUACAGAUACUCUGCUUCCUGGUAUGAAGCUUGGGCUGGACCUGAAAAUUGGUUUGAACCGGUCUCUGUCAUCUUGGAAGUCCAAAGAUGACCCGGGAACCGGAACCAUUUUCUAUGGUAUUGAUCCAAGUGGGUUUCCCCAGUUGUUCCUAUACAAGGGUCAAAUCCCAUGGUGGCGUGGCGGACCAUGGACUGGACUAAGAUGGAGCGGAGUACCCGAAAUGACCCCUACCUACAUCUUCAAUGUUACUUUCGUUAACAGCGUUGAUGAGGUAUCUAUAUUCUAUACUAUGAAUAAUCCCUCCAUCAUUUCAAGAAUGGUGGUGAACGAAUCAGGAGUAGUGCAACGGCUGUCGUGGAACGACCGUCAUCAACAAUGGAUCGGAGUUUGGUCCGCCCCAAAAGAACCAUGUGACACCUAUGGCCAAUGUGGUCCAAAUAGUAACUGUGACCCGUAUCAAGCAAAUAAUUUCAUAUGCAAAUGUCUACCCGGAUUCGAACCCAAGUCAUCCCAAGAAUGGUACCUAAGAGACGGGUCAGGAGGUUGUGUCAGGAAACCUAACGUGUCCACGUGUCGCGGCGGAGAAGGGUUCGUCAAGUUGGCUCGAGUGAAGGUGCCGGAUACAUCAAUGGCGAGUGCGAACAUGAAUUUGAGAUUGAAAGAAUGUGAGCAAGAGUGCUUGAGGAAUUGUUCUUGUACAGCUUAUGCUAGUGCUGACGAAAGAGGACUUGGGUGCUUGAGAUGGUAUGGUGAUCUGGUGGAUACAAGAACGUUUUCAGAUGUGGGGCAAGAGAUUUACAUCCGUGUGGAUAGAGCUGAAUUAGGUACAUGUCCAAUUCUACUACUAACUUGUUUACUUUUCCUUUGUUCACUUGCUAUGCUACACGUUUUGAUUCUUGAAGAAAUCUCAUAGACCUGAUAAAUCACAAGUAAUCAUUUUGCUUAUAAUUUAUUAGAAGUAAUUGACUAUUUGUAAAAAUGAUUCCAUUAAGCUUAAGUGCACAAAUAAACUAGGAUUGAUGGCAUAGAAGUAAUAAACUAAUUGUAAAAAUGUUUCUCCAAUUAUAUGAAAGAUAGCUUCCUGAGCAAUGUUUUUUUAUUAAUCAGCACGUAAUUUAUGAAUAGAAUGUUUGAUAAGGCCGGUAGGUCAAUAAAAGUGUUGACACGAAAUCCAUUGAUUAUUCAAUUAAUUUUCAUCAACUCAAUGAACUCGGAAUUGAUUGUUUUGAUUAAGUGAUCAUAUUAUUAUUUACUAGUAUAAUGAAUCGAGUAGUUUUGUCACAAACAUGCCUAUAUUGCUGCUCAUAGAAAUGACUAAAACAUUUUUUAACUUUCCUUCUAAGAAUAUAUAUUAAAAAAUAAAAAAUAUACUAAAACCUUUUUCACAGUAAUCCAUUGUGAAUUUCUUUUCUAAUCAUUAUUUUUUUUUUCUCUUUGUGGCAAACUUAACUACCAAUUUCUUAUAAUUUGUUAUGGAGAAACACAGUUGAAAGAUGGAGGCCAAAGUAUAAAAUAAGAAAAAAUUACAUGUUUGGAUUGAAACUCACACAAGUAAGUGUGUUUAGGUACCUAUACUUUUUUUUUUUGAAUUAUAGUCCCUUUAUUUUCUUAUGAUUUCGUUUUAAUAAAAAACUCUAUUUUUAUUAUUUUUAAAUCCCUAGUUUUGAGAGAUUAGAAAGAAAGUUGUUGGAAAACAACCAAAAAAAAAAAAGUUGUUUGUUAUUUAUAUUUCAGCCACUAAAAAGAUGAUGUUUUAUGUCAACGAGUUUUAUUAGAUUAUGAGAGUUUCAUUUAUGUGUAUUUUCCCUUUAUUUUACUUAAAGAAUUAGAUUGGAGUUCAGAUAAUUUUUUCUUUCAAUUUGAUUUUGUAUUUUUGACAAGCUUUUCGGCGUUUUGAGUGGAGUAGUUGGUUUAUUGAUAUUAUAGGAAUGUUUAUUAUUUUUUUGUAAGUGAAAAUUGGUUGAAAAUCAUAUUUUUAAAUAAAAAAAAGACCAGCUUGAUUUUUCAAUUAUCUGUUUGUUGGUUGAAAACUCGCAUUAAAAAAACAGAUAACCUUACUUUUCUAGCAACAUCAAUAACUAGAUUUUGAAAUUUUUAAAUGACCGUGUCGUUUAUUUUAUUUCAAAUAAAAAGGGUUGGAUGACUAAAUCUUUUCUAAUAUGAUUUUUUAAGAAGAUUAGACAGAAAAGCUCUUAAUAAUCUCUGAUCAGUUCCUCUCUUUCUCUGCUAGUAAACAUGUUCCUAAGUUUUUCCUCAAUUUCUCAACAAAAUCCUAACAAAAAGGGCACAUUCAAAAAGUUAUAUUGUUUAGAGAGCAAAAGUUUUUUUAAGAAAAAAAUUAGUUCAAUUGUAUUUGUUUUUUUUUCACUAGACUUGGGGGGUAAUUUAUAAUUUAGCGAUAUAUUUUCUGAUUUCUACUCCCUUUUCUUGCUUGACGCCAUUCCUCUUCUCUAGUGUUGCCUUUUCUCUUAAUAGACUAGGCGUCUUUCUUUAGCUUUAGUUUCUUUUUUAUUUAAAUAUAAAUUAAUUACAAUAGAUUAAUCCAAUGUAUGUGUGGGAUAUGACAAUUCGGUUUAAUUGAGAUUAAUUAAAUAAAUAUUUGUGAUGUUUUGUAAUAAAAUAUUAUUUAAUUUUUACUUGGUAUCCGAAUAAAAUUAUAAUUUUUUUUUUCUGAUAUUAGUAAGUAUUUUUUUUGUGAAACCUUAUAAUAUAUAUAUAUUUCAGUUUUAUUCAAUUAUUUUUAUAUGCUUGUUUACUUUUAUUAUUGUUUAAAAAAAAAAUCAGUUCAAAGAAACAAAUUCGUUGAAGCAACUAGAUCCAUAGUCCAUGUUUCAAUAUCAGAUAUCUUGAAUUACAUCUAUAUUUUAAUUUUUUAAUUUAGUCUUUGAUUAAAUAUUUUUUGAUAUUUUGCUUAGUUUUAAAAUAAAAUUAUAACAUUUUUUCAAUAUUAGUAUUUGUUUUUGUGUAACCCUACAAAGUCUCUUUUUUUUUUCUUCGAUAUUAUUCAAUCACUUUCAAAUACACAUUUGUUUUUAUUAUCGUUUGAUAAAAUAAAAAAUUAAUUUCAAGAAAUAAAAUUAUUAAACAUGAUGAAGUUCAUGGACUCUAAUAUAAGAUUAAUAUCUUUAUCUAUUUUCAUUUCUUAAUUUUUCAGUUCAAUUUUUAGUUUUUAUUAAUGAUUUGUUUAUUUUUUGUGUUUAUUAUCAUAAAUAAUUCUUAAUUUAUUUAAUUAAAUAUAUAUAUGCAUCAGUUUUUUAAUUUACAAUUAAAAAAAAAAAUAUAUCAUAAAUAUGUUUCAAACGUCUAUAUAUUCGUGUUUUUGCAUAAAAAAAUAAUAAUUUGACCAUGGCAAAGCAAGUCAAGUGGCUCGUUUCCUACUAAUUGUACUUGUCUUCAAGAUCCAUGCACCGCAUCGGCGACCAUGUUUAUCAUAAUUUCUUGUCUUGUAUAUAUAGUAUAGUCCAGUCUCAUCUACUCAGACAAACUUAAAAAUUAAAUUUAGUUUACUUAAGUCUCAAGCUCGUAUGAUCCUACGAAGGAGAUAGAAACAACAAAUCAUAGUAAAUAAAGUUUUUGGGGCGAGCAAAUUAGGUGAUGAAAAUUAUUCAAUACUUGUAGUUUACUCUUUGUUUUUUAAUUUCUCACAUUUAUAUGGUAUUCAAUUAUAUGAAAAAAAAUAAAAUAGAAUAGAGAGUAAUUAAAUAUAAAUUUAUAGUACUGAAUAAUUCCAAAUCAACAGCUUGAAAGAUUUAAUUUUCAACUCUUAUCACUAAACAUUUCUUAUAUUUUCAAUUUCAGCUAAAUAUGAAAAGUCAGGACCUCUUGCCAAUAAAGGAAUUAAAGCAAUCCUGAUAGUGUCUGUUGUUGUGACAUUGUUUCUGAUCAUCUUCCUUGUGUGUUGGUUUGUAAAGAAAAGGAGAAAAGGUAAGCAAAUUCCCUUCAAAUGUUGCUCCUGAGCAAUAUAUUUUUCGUAACAUUAUUAAACUCAGGGUGUUGAGUCAGUAAAAAUGCAAUAUUUCUCAGAGAGUCUUGAGCUCAAAAAAAGAUACCUUGAGUUAGAAGUUUUACCAGCUAGAAAUAAGUUUGCAUGUUGAUGACAGCCAGGGACAGGAAAAGAAGAAACGAAUUUCCGCUAUCAACUUCAAGGUCAAAUUGCUCGAGAAACUUACCAAUUAAGGAAUUUGAGGAAGGUACAACAAGUUCAGAUUUACCACUUUUUGAUCUUAGUGUCAUAGCUGCGGCAACAAAUAAUUUCUCAGAUGCCAACAAGCUUGGAGAGGGUGGUUUUGGCUCAGUGUAUAAGGUAGCCUAGCCUGCCUUGAAGUCCCUCAAACACAUAGCAUCACUUCAGUUUACAUGUUGAACUAUGAGAUUGAUGAAUUUGGAUUGAGAUUUUCAGGGUCUGCUGCAUGAUGGAAAGGAAAUUGCGGUCAAAAGACUAGCAAAGUAUUCUGGACAAGGGAUUAAUGAGUUCAGAAAUGAAGUCGAGCUCAUUGCAAAACUUCAGCACAGGAAUCUUGUGAGGAUAUUAGGUUGUUGCAUCCAAGGAAGAGAGAAGAUGUUGAUCUAUGAAUACUUGCCAAACAAAAGUUUGGACUCUUUUAUUUUCAGUAUGUCAUCAUCGAUCAUUAUGUCAAAUUGUCCCUAUAUUGUGGAUUUUUCAGUUUUUCUCAUUCUAUAGAAGUUGAAAAAUGAUUACAAGCCUGCAUUGAUUUGAUGAGAUUUAUGCUUCUUUGGGUACAGAUGAACCAAGAAGGUCACAGUUAGAUUGGUCUACUCGCCACAACAUUAUUUGUGGGAUUGCUCGAGGAAUUUUAUAUCUUCAUCAGGACUCCAGAUUACGAAUCAUCCACAGAGAUCUUAAGGCAAGCAAUGUUCUACUAGAUGCCUCAAUGAACCCUAAAAUUUCAGAUUUCGGCAUGGCUAGAAUAUUUGGAGUAGACCAAAUUGAAGCCAACACAAACCGUGUUGUUGGAACGUAGUAAGUUUAUCCUUAUUUAAUGAAUUAUAUUAGAAAAUAAUAUAAGAUUAUUUUUAGAAUUUUAUCUAAUAAUUCAAGUUUUUUAGAUAAAUUAAUUUUUCGACAUAAUAUUAGAAUUUUAAUUAUUUUAUCUAAUUAAAUUAAUAAAACUAAGAACUUAUACAAGUUUUAAAUGUUAAAAAAUAAUAUAAAAUUAUUUUUAAAAUCUUAUAAAAUUAUUUUUAUUUAUAUUUUUCUGAACAGCUGACUUUAUUAAGCUCUUCUUUUCCUAUGUUAUUGCAGUGGUUAUAUGUCACCAGAAUAUGCAAUGCAAGGCUUAUUUUCAGUAAAAUCCGAUGUAUAUAGUUUCGGGGUUUUGCUAUUAGAGGUCGUCACUGGGAGAAAAAACAGCCAUUUUUAUGAUGAAAGUAACUCUUCGAACUUGGUUGGAUAUGUAAGUAAUAAGAUCACAUAUACAUAUAUUGCCGAUUUUAAAAUUUCAACUCCAACAUAGCAUACUGAUGUGAAAUUUCUUUAGGUUUGGGAUCUAUGGAGAGAAGGCAGGGCCCUGGAACUAGUGGAUACAUUGAUGGGCGACUCGUAUCCUGAAGAUCAAGUCUUAAGGUGCAUCCAAAUUGGUCUUUUAUGUGUGCAAGAAUCUGCGAUGGACCGACCAUCAAUGUCUGAUGUUGUUUUCAUGUUGAGUAAUGACACAACUCUUCCAUCGCCCAAGCAACCUGCGUUUAUUAUGAAGGAGAGUUACUAUAGUGGAGAUCCAUUAACAAGUGAAGGAUCACAUUCUAUAAAUGAAGUGACAAUCACCAUGCUUGGACCUCGGUAGAGGCUUACAUAUAUCUGACGUUCUACUUUUAUUUGUUAAUAUUAAUGUGUAUUGAUAUUAUGAUAGCUUUUACGAUAAUAUUUUAAAAAUUAGGUUUAAAGUGGAAAUAAAAAAAUAUUAAUUAUAAUGUAUGUUAAUUAACUAAAUAUUUGUACAACUUUAAUAAAAAUAAAAUACAAAUUUAAUCACACCAUAUUGUUAUACCAAGUGGAUCCUAGUAGAAGUAGCAUGGUAGUGAAAUAUUAUUUAUUACAUUUCUAAGCUCUAAGCAUGUGGAACCAAGUAGUGUAGUUAUUCUUUAAUUAACCGACAAUGUAGAUAAAGAUGUUUCAAUAGUCUCCCAAUUUAAAUUAUCUUCAUCAAGAAAGCUAAGUUUUUUACAAAUCUACUCAUUUAAUAAUUUAAUGUUAUCAAGGCCAAUGUGAUCUAAAAUAUCUUGUUUUUUUUUGUUUAAAUUCUUACAAAGUACAAACAUUAAAAAAAAAACAAUAUGAUUGUUAUCAAAUAUAUUAGUGAUAAAUUCAAUUUUUGAAAAUAGUAUAUUUACAAAGUAGUUAUAAAAGGUUUAGACAAGACCUAUUUGCAAUAUUAGGUCAAUAAUCAUGCCAAUUGUAAUAUAUUCUUCCACUGCAUGAAGAACAAAAACAUUCAUUUUCCAUGGAGGGACAAGAUGAGGUAAGGAGAUUAGAUAAUAGGUACAAAAUAACUACAUAGAAAAUUAUAAAGUUGUUAUAAUAAUGAGAAACUUAUUGCAUUAAAGCAUUAUUCCUAAAUAUCCUAGUCGAUAUUCUAUUAAGACUUGAUAUUAAUUAGAGUUAUUGAGACUAAUGUAUCUUAUGUUCCUUCCUUUAUGAAAGGAAGAAGUUGCUCUUAUAAACUGAGGUAUGAGAGAUGUAUAUAACUAAUAUAUAGGUGCUUGUAACAUGACAUAUACACUGAACUGACUUGUAAGAAAAUUUUAUAUAGGGAGAUUACUUAUGUCUAUAGAAAGGUUCACGUGAUAAUUAUGUAAGUGAUCUUUAGACUUGAGAUCACUAAUUUAUAUUAUAUAGAGAGUGUUAUGCUUUGAUCCUAACCACACAUUAUCCUAAUCAAAGAUAACAAAUAGGCAAAUAUUAGGUAUGAGAUAUAGUAUUAAAUGAAGGUAUUUAAGUAAUAAAGAGAGGAUUCAUCACUCUAGGUGAAUUAGAAAAAAUAUUACGUAUGAUCUUAAAUAAUAUUGAUUGUGAAACCUUUGGCCAAGAUAGAAUGAGUUUUGAAAAAAAUUUCAGAAUUUUACUCAAAAAAUUAAUGAUUAUAAUGUUGAGAACUAACAUGAUUUAACAAAGCAGAAUAGUUCAUGUUAUAAUGUCUAAAUCGAAACAUUUAUGAUAAAUUAAUGAAUAAUAAUUACACUGCAACAAUGGUGCAGGGUUCGUCAAGGUGGAAAACGUGAAGGUACCAGAUCCUUCAACUGCCCGUGAGAAUAACAAUUUGGAUCUGAAAGCAUGCAUGUAGCAAUGCUUGAGGAAUUGUUCCUGCACAGCCUACGCAAGUUCAGUUGUGACAAGUAAGAGUGGGUGCUUCUCAUGGUAUGGCAAUUUGCUUGAUACAAGAGUGUUCGCUGAGGGAGGACAGGAUUUAUAUGUCCGUGUGGAUGCGUUUGAGUUAGGUACCUUCAAAUCUUAUUGUCAUUAUAUAUCUUUGCUGCAUUUUUCAACAACAGCUUAAACUUUAAUACAACUUAGAUAGAGGAUUUUCAGAACAAAAAAUAUAGACAUCUGAAAUAAAAAUUACGGGUACAAGUACAACGGAAGUACCAGGGACAUUUCUAAUAUGGCUAAACCCUCCCCUGCACUUACCUACUAUCUUUCUGCAAUAUGCACCCUUACUGAUAAUCCUGAUGAUUUGGUAUCGCGCUAAUGUGGAUUUCUUUCUUUCUCCAGCUCAAUAUGACAAGAAGUCUAGAGGUUUUCUUGCAAAAAAAGGGAUGUUAGCCGGCUUGGUACUCUCUAUAGCUGCUGCGGUUUUCUUUGUCAUUAUGUUCUCAUUCUGGUUGAUAAAAAGGAAGAAGACGGGUAAGAGAUUAUUUUUUCAACUUUGUUACCAAUAUAAGUGGCACCAAAUUAGUUGAACUAAAGAAUUCUAACUUUAAGUCUAUGCAUAUAGGAGAUGAUAGUCUGCAAAAUGCAGUGUAAUCAACAUUAGCACUUGUUAGUACUUUUAAAAGCUGAUUUUGAGUUCUUUCAACGAUAAACACAGCUAAGGGCAGACAACUCAAAUUUCCCUUCAAUAUCCCUUCAACACAGCUAAACAAGCCUCAAUGGCUCUCUAAGUGGAAAGGAAGUUGGUGGAAGUAGAACAAGUGAAUACGUACCAGUCUUCGACAUAGAUAUCAUAUUAGAAGCCACAGAGAGUCGAAUUUCUCCAACAAGCUUGGAUAUGGUGGUUUUGGCUGAGUUUACAAGGUACCUUUCCUUGGACAUGAAAUUAUUUCAGAAUUCUAUGUACUUGUAUCAAAAGUUAACAUGCAUUAAAUAACAUUUUAAUGUUGCAUGAUUAGACCAUGAUACUGGAAAAUCGCAGAGGCUGGUGCCAAAGAAAUUCUAACCAGGGAAGAUGAUGGAAAUGGAUGGAAUUAUGGAUAGAUGAUGGAAAUGGAAAGGUGGAGAUGGAUAGAUGUAGGACAGAUGAUGUUCAAUCCUUUAGAGAUACAGAAAUCACCACUCUAAAGUGAAUGAACAAAGAUUAAACUCAGAAUUGUCAAUAAUACAGUCACGCCCCAAAGAGAUUAGAGUUUAGGAUAGCUCACCACUCCGUGAAUUCCACCAAAGAGAUACAGAACUAAACAUAAACCUAACCAGCUCACUUUGAUUUUGGCUUCACCAUUUCUCUAUAUCUAUUCUAGAUUGUUGAACACUCUUAUUUAUACUUGGGACAAUACGUGCAAGUUAGGAAAACAUCAAACAAGAAAUUCUAAAUCUAAACACUUUUUCCAUCUAGCCGAAGUUGUAGUAGACGCGGGACACAUAUCGAGCAUAAGAAAAAGUCUGGAAGAGUCAAACGUUACGGGGUCAGCCCAAAUUAGAUCUAGAAGAUGAUAUUUCAGAUUAUUCUUAAUUAUAUCUACUUGUUUUCAGAUUCCUUUCUACUUAUAUUCAUGAUUUUUGUUUGACUUGAUUUUAAAAGUAUACUGGUCGAUUUUACAGUCUUUCUCUACGGUUUAGGAUUAUAUUUUUUUAAAGUUUACGAAACCUUAAUUCUCUAUCUUUGCUACAUACUUAAUCAGUAGGUAAGGCUGAUGACAUUUAAGAGAGUUGGAGGGAAGAUUGUCCAGGCUUAUUGAAUGUUUAUUGACAAAACCAGGCGCGGCAUUGCAUGCUGUUAAAUAUCGUAGAAAGAUCACGGUUCUGUUGACAGCAUGCACCCUUGUCAGUAAAACAACCAUAACUCUUGCUAGAAAGCUCCGAAUCUUUCACUGUUCGAUGUGUUUGAAACUAGACACGUAUAUCUUUCUAGGGAUACAUGGCUUGCUCAGUAUUUCUCUUUGUGUUGAUGCAGUUAUACGUUUGAAUUUGAAACUGAAAUCUGGCCCUGUUGCGAGCAUUCUUGGCUUUGUUGAUUUCUUUGGGUUAAGAUCAGGCUCUUUUAGGCUUUGUUCAAAAUCAUCUAAUCCAAAUUUAUUAGUGGAUGUAAUUAUGGGAUUUACUAGGAAUUCUCCCGCAUCAGACCAACUUUGGCAGAAUGUGAUUAGCUUAAGUUGUAUUAACUUGUGAGUUAAACAUGGAAUGUAAUUUCAGGGCAAGCUAGGCAAUGGACAGGAAAUUGCAGUUAAGAGAUUAUCUAAAACUUCAGGGCAAGGGAUGAAGGAGUUUAUGAAUGAAGUAAGGUUGAUAUCUAAACUCCAGCACAGAAAUCUUGUCAAGCUUUUUGGUUGUUGCAUUCAUGAAGAGGAAAAGAUGCUGAUAUAUGAGUAUUUACCAAACAAAAGCUUGGAUUUUUUCAUCUUUGGUAUGGCUCUCUUCAUCCAUUUUUGUUUCUGUGUUCAAAGGGAAGAGUCCCCUGAUUAUACAGCUUCACUUUGAUCAAAUUAAAAUAAAUGAUUUCGGGGCAAACCUUUAAUGUUUAAGUGCAGACGAGACAAAAAGGGUGCUCUUGGAUUGGAGAAAGCGUUUUGAAAUUGUUUCCGGGAUUGCUCGAGGGGUUUUAUACCUUCAUCAAGAUUCAAGACUAAAAAUUAUCCACAGGGAUCUCAAAGCCAGCAAUAUUCUACUAGAUGCUGCAAUGAACCCAAAAAUUUCCGAUUUCGGUAUGGCAAGAAUGUUUAUGGAAGACCAAGUCCAAGGAAAAACCACUCGUGUGGUCGGAACAUAGUAAGUAACCUGAUUCUUUCCUCUCUCCAGUGAUCCAUCAUGAUCAAAUACCAACAAGCUUCAUCUUUUAUGAUUGUAGCGGCUACAUGUCACCUGAGUACGCAAUUCAGGGACAGUAUUCGAUAAAGUCAGAUGUCUUCAGCUAUGGUGUCUUAACACUGGAGAUCACAAGUGGCAGGAAAAAUAGCGACUACGGUGAGAGAGAACCCUGGCUGAAUCUUAUCGGACAUGUAAGCGGAUCGAUAAAUUUCUUGAUAAUAUCUUAGGUGAUUGUCUUCCUCUUAGAUUCUUUUCUCGAUUAUCUUCUUACUUGUUUCAUGUAUGGGACUUAUGGAGAGAAGAAAAGGCAUUAGACAUAGUUGGUCCAAUGCUGGAACAGUCAUGCCCUCUUCAUGAAGUUCUUAGAUGCAUUCAGAUUGGGUUACUGAUAGGUCCCAACACAGAUAAUGAAGUGUUUAAUAAAAAUAAUGCAUUGCUUUCUCUUCAGGUGAGAAUAAACCUUUGUUCUGAAAUUAAUUGAUUACCACUAAUGACAACUGUGGUUGCUUAAAUAGCAAGACCACGUACUCAUAGACUGAAAUAUAAUUGCAUGAAAUAAAAGUAACUAAGAUAGUGCCAGUUCUGUCAUCACAUUUGCACGUCACAUUUGCACGUAAUGUUUCCCACGUAUUAUAUUCAACUGCCAACCAGCAUUCCCCACUCUGAACUCUGGACGUCAUGGCCUGUAUGCACGAUUAAUUACGUGCUGUAAACAUCUUGAAGUAUUUGGCAUUUGGCUUAAGUCCUCUCUUUGAACGACGUGGUCUAUCAAUACCGCCCCCAAUAAGUGGAACCUUGUCCUCAAGGUUCAGAGCCGGAAAUUUCUCCUGUAACAGAGCAGUGGGCUCCCACGUGGCAUCGUCAACAGGCAAAUUUUUCCAUUGAACUAAGCUUUCCGCUACAAGAUGACGUCCCUGUUUGUGCCAGCGAGAAUCCAACAUAGAUUGCGGUUCAAGAAGCAGCUCACCCGCAUCGGUAAUAGGUGGAAUGUCAACUGAUCGUGGUUCAAAAAUGUUGGCUGUAUUCUGGUAGCGCUUUAACAGUGAAACAUGAAACACUGGAUGAAUGCGUGCUUCGGAUGGUAACUGUAAACGAUAGGCGACCUGUCCGAUUUUUUCAACAAUUUGAUAUGGUCCGUAAUAACGAGUAGCCAGCUUGUGAUGGACCCGUUUGAAGACUGACUGUUGGCGAUAUGGAUGCAGUUUGAGAAGCACCCAAUCACCGGCAUGAAAGAUGACAUCCCUCCUCUUUGUGUCAGCAAUCUGUUUCAUGCGAUUCCUCGAUCUAGCUAAGUUAUCCUUCAAUUGACGAAGUAGAGCAUCGCGGUCCAGGAGCUGUUGGUCAACUGCACUUACUGGCGUCAGACCCUCUUUGUAGACAUGAAUAGCUGGAGGUAGGCGUCCAUACAACGCCUGAAAUGGUGUCAUACCAGUUGAAAUAUGGUACGUGGUAUUAUACCAGUACUCUGCCCAAGGUAAAUAAGAACACCACUGCUUUGGCCACUGAUGAACAAAACAUCGUAAAUACUGCUCCACACACCGAUUAAUGACCUCCGUCUGGCCAUCCGUCUAUGGAUGGUAUGCUGAACUGAGUCGAAGCUUGGUGCCUGACAUUUUAAAAACUCUUGCCAGAAAUGACUGAUGAAAAUAGGAUCCCGAUCACUAACAAUGGAUUGCGGCAUUCCAUGGAGCUUAAUAACGCCAUGAACAAAUUUUUCUGCCAUAGUUUUUGCAGUAAAUGGGUGACGUAAAGUGAGAAAAUGAGCAAACUUACUAAGUCUGUCAACAAUCACCAUGAUGGUGUCCCUGCCAUGCGAUAUUGGCAAUCCUUCAAUAAAAUCCAAGGUGAUAUCAUCCCAAACUUGACAUGGAAUAGGCAGUGGUUGAAGAAGUCCCGCUGGAGCCAAUGUCUCUAUCUUGGUCUUUUGGCAAAUCUCACAUUCUUGGACAUAUGUGUGCACUGCUUCAUACAUGCCAGGCCAAUAGAAUUGUUGGUUGAGCUUUUUAAAUGUACGUAGAACUCCGGAAUGACCGCCCACCUUGGUGUUAUGCAUUUCAUGUAGCAGUGUAGCUCGUAAAUUUGCAUCGUUUGGUACCACGACCCUCCCCUUGUAUAAUAAUAGCCCAUCACGCCAUGUAAAUGCACUGUCAGGUUGAGCAUCAAUUUUAUGACCCAUGGACUGAAUGUAUUGGUCCUGUUGUGAGGCUGUCUUAAUCUCUUGCCAGACACUAACCUGCGAAGUAAAAAUGUGAUGUAAAAUUGGACUCCCUUGUUUUCUGGACAAAGCAUCAGCAGCUGAGUUCUCACGGCCUGUGUUGCUACCCAAUUUUUGACCCAUGUUUUUGAUAUAUUUUCAAAAAAAAUCCAAAAAUAGAGAAAAACAAAGAAAAUCAAAAAAAAUAUGUUUUUUUAAUAUAUUUUCGUAAUUUUAGCAUUUUCAACGUCGUCUAAAAAAGAAUUUAAAUUUUUAAGGGUCUUUCGAACGCGUUCGACUUUUCACGCGUUAUUUUUUAAAAUCAUUGAUUUUCCGUAUUUGAGUCGACGUUGAUAUUGCUCGUUUUCAAAAAAAUACAAAAAAACAAGAAAAAUCAAAAUUUUACAAAAAAAGAAAGUUGACCAAUUUUUGAAAACUUGGCAAUAUUUUUUGCCUAUAAAUACUAGUCUUAAACUCACAUUCAAGGAGGGGUUUUCAUUUUUGCAAGGGGGCUAAUUUUGGAAACACCAGAAAAAUAAAAAAUAAAAAAAAACCUAAACCUAUCUUCUCCCCCCACUUUUUUUCAAACAGUCGCCGGCCCCCCUUAGUCCAAGACCAUUAUUUUUCCAGCUGAAAAUCAGCAACUCAGCCCCCACCCAGGUCUUCUUUUCCUGGUUUUCCACCGACAAUGGAGGCCCCUUCUCACACUGAAAACUUGCCAGCCCGAUGAAUUACUAGGUGGCGACUCCAACGAACAAAUUCAAAGCAAACGCAAAAACAAGAAAAAUUGCCAGCCCGAUGCCGCGCGCCGGAUGGAUUUUUUUUGGGGUGCGACAGGAUGGCGACUCCACUGGGGACAAGUAUUGUUUUCAACUUUAUCGGACUAAGCUUUGUGUUUUGAUGUGUUCAAUUUUUUUUGUGCUUUGUUUUAUUUAUUUGUAUUUUAUUCAUGCAUUGUAAAUAUUUUCUCUCAUGCAUCACAAGUUUUAAUUUUUGAAAGCACACACCAGCUUUAGGUUAGGUGGGGGACUAGCAGCUUGCCUUAUGACUUGAGUCAAGGUUUAAGUUUGUGUAAACCCCAACUCUUUGUUGAGUGCUUAGACUGGUAAUAGUUGGACACGUGCCAACCAAUUACCUACUGGGCCCCUAUAUUGUCUUUACGAAGGCGAUCACUGGGACAACAAGAGACCCUUUUAGAGACCAAGUAGCAAACCUACCCUGUCUCACGUAAAAUGAAUAGAGCCUGCUUUAGGAUGUAUGUGCUAUUGUUUGCAUCGAGCAAACCUUCUUGAAGCAUCUUGAACUCAAGACUUGUGGGUGACACAUUGGCCGUUGCUCCGAAAAUUUUCAUUGUAGAGUUUGGGCAAAAAUCACGAUUCUUGUCCAUCAUACAAGAGUUACGACCAUAUUGUCACCUCUCGAAGGGUGAGUUCAUCAUAUAGAUUACAUGUUCAUACAUUUAUCAUGCAUGUACCGGGUUGAAAGGUAGGUCCCCGCACAAGCUGUGCUGCACGUGAUUGAAGAAAUGAUGGAGGUGAAGAAAGUGUCAGAUAGAGGCUCAUUAUCAGAUUAAGUUGAGAGCAUCAAAGGUGAAGUAGCUAGACUCAGAUCUGCUCGAACAAGUGUUGAGCAUCAAAUGGAAAGAGAAUGUCUGCACAGUCUUCUGUGGGAACACUGCUUGUUCACGUCCAAUUGAAGCUGCUCUCCUUUUCAGUCAUGAACAACAACAACAACGCCUUCAGUCAUCAACUAAUGACAACUCUGGUUCUUGUCCAGUUGCACUGUUAAGUGUUCAUCGCCUCCACAUCAUCUAAUGGAACCAAACGACUACUAGCCUCCUGUACAUGGUGCAUUAGUCUGCUUUGAAGUUACCCCGAUUAUGAGCUCAAUUCCAGUUCAGCAGCACAAGAUGGUCUGAAAAACCAUGAUUGAACACUGAACUUCAAUGUGGCAGAGCUCUCUCUACAAAAAUCCAUUUAUGGCUCUGCAAAUUGGGAAUGCAAGAGGGGAUUUAUAAGUUGCAUAUGCUACAAAUAUUUCUCUCAUCAGUUUCAGCACGAAGACCUCUUAGUAGGUUGAAGAGCCAGACCUGGUCUGAAAAAUAUGAGCAGACAUCAAACUUCAACGUAGCAGAGCUCUCUCAGCAGGAAUCUGUUUGUGGAUCCGCAAGUGGGAAAUCCAAGAAGGAAUACAGUAGUUUCAGAUCAUCUAUGAUUUUCCUCCAACAGUGUCAGUAUUAAAACGCAAAAGUAGAGAGAAGAGACAUGCCUAGACUGAAAAACAUGAAGAAUACUGAAACUUCAACAGAGCAGGACUUCCUCUAUAGGUGUUUGUUUGCUGCACUGUCAGUGAGAAAUCGAAGAGGGGACAAAGGAGUUUUAGAUUCAUCAGGUGCUCUUCCAAUAGAGACAAUGUGUGAUUCCACACGUCGGUAGUGGCGAUACUACAAGUUUCUGGGCGCUGCCAAGAUUACCAAGCUGUUGGAAAGUUUUCUAACAAUCCUCAACCAACCACAACAACAUUGGAAGAUUGAAAUGAUGUUGUGAGGAUUUGCCGAAGAAUUGAACAAGCUAUGAAGAGAGCAAAGAUUGAAGGAUCUGCCAUGGAUUCUAGAACAAUGAUGAGAGGUGAAUCAGGAGAUGACUUGACGGUGUGAACCCUUAAUUAUGUGGUAUAGCCAGGUCUCACGGUAGCAUCAAUUGCUCAAAUGUCUUUGCCAAGAUGGGACAUUCCUCUGCCAUUUAAGUUUGUCGACCAGCAUCUGCCAGAUUCCAGAAUUUUGCUUGACUCCGACAAAUCCAUGCAACCACCAUUUUCUAGGUGGUAUAAUCCAGAUAAGAGAUGUGAUGUCAUGGUGGGGUCCUCAACCAUUUCAAGUGAACAGUUUCAAGAAUUGCAAGAAUUGAGUCUGAAAGUUGGUGAGCAAGAGACAAGUGGAGUCGGUGAAGGAGGGUGUCAUUGGCUAUAUUGUCCCCGAACAUCUUCAGAAUGACAUGUUGAUCGAAAGUGCUUGGCAAAACACAAAUAUUGCCAGAAAAGCUGAUUCAAGAAUGGUGAUGAACAGUCAAUCAUAUUGUUUUGGAAUUCUGCAUUUUGUUUUGGGAUCACAUCUCAUCCUUCAACGAAACAUGCCUUGCUUUUGUCUCUUUGUUGUUUUGAAAUCAACAGAUGUUUAACAUUUUUUCUGACAAAAUAUUUUGAUCAAACUCCAACAUGCGAUAAAGGUUAAUCAAUCCUGAAGAUUAAAAGUGUUUUGAUUACAGAAAUGACUCGAUUUUGUUGAAAUGACAUGAGGUGACCAAACAAUUUUGAACUCAUACCUUUGAAACUGAACCACACAUCAUAUAGCUAAGUUUUAGCAGUAUGCAUAAUGACAUGUAGUGGUUUCGGUAGUUAUGGACUCGUGAAUCAUGACUUACAAGUCCAAAUCAUUACACUAGAUGAGGUCAAAAUUUAUCGGUUCUAACCGACCUUGCUUGAAAUGAGAAAAGGCCAUCUUUGAUAUCCUUCACUUUCUAAAAAUUAUCUCCUUGUAGUCCCAUUUUGAGCUGGAUAGAAUAUUUUUUCAAAAAACCCUGACUAGGAUCACACCCCACACUGGGGGCAAAUGAGAAAUAUUUUGGAGACAUGAUAAAAUCAAUGGAUCAAAGAAAAGCUUAGAACAAAAGUCCAAUGUUUGAGAAAGGGCUAGAAGAAGAAAAUCCAUAGAUUGAGGGCCAUCCAAGAAAAACUUUGAGGAAAUGAAAGAAAAUGCCUAUCAAUUCUAAGAGAGGCAAGACAGUUUUCAAUUGAGAAAAGACAAUAAAUGCCAAAAGUCAACACUAGAAAAAUCGAUGCUUCAUAUCUUUUGGUGUGUCUGGAUAAGCCUCUAAUGUCUUCAAAAUUAGAUUAGUUAUUCAUCAAAGAAAAGUUGGAUUAUGACCUAUGUUAAGAGAAUUCUGAUAUUGAAGAUUAACAAGGUUAUAUGUCACUUUCUCUACAAUGACAACAAGAGAAAGAGAAUCGAUGAAUAGUUAAUGUUGGUCCUAGGUCGUUGAAACCCUCAAACACCUUUUGAGCCUUGAAUUCCUUUCUUUCAUAGCCAUGAACCAUAGCCUGCAUUACGUGCUUUUAAAAGCCCUUUUUAAUCAAGCAAGCAAUUGAACCAUAAAUGGCGCUCUCAAAACUUGAAGAGUUUUUCCAUAAGGGUCGUGACUUCAUGAAUUAAGCUACUGGUUAUUAUGCAUGCUGAUAAAAUAAAUGCUAAGAAAAGAAACAACCUUUCUUAUCAAGCCUGAGCAUCUUGUUUUGAAAUUCAUAAAAAUGUCACCUCAUCACAACCAUCAAAAGAUAUACCCAAAAUCAGAGUUUAAAAUGGACACAAAGAACCAUGGGAAAGACAUUUUAAAUCUUACAACGGGUCAUUUCUGUUUUCAAAAUACAAGACAAUCAAAGGACUGCAUUGAAUAGUGUGUUGGGUCUUUGACCAAAGAAGUUUGAAUUUCAAAAGAAAAAAAUAACUUCAAAAACAGACAUCUCUCUGAUUUCAUUUCAACAAUUAUACUUGAAUAGACAUGAUCGUUGAAAUGUUGAGAUUUGAUUCCAGAACAAGAAAGAUUUUCAAACAAGAACAUCAAUUGAGUUUGCAAAAUUCUUGACAAAAAUGACAUCAACAUUUCUCGACACUCCUUGAAACGUUGACCACCUAGGGGCAAUACAGUGGACCUUAAGAAGGAAAGCAAACAGUAUCCAUAUCAGCUGGGGGCAAAGAAAGAAUCCGAUGAUGAGUCGUCAAAGUUAUGUUUAGCAUCUGACAAUGACAAAGAAAAACCUUCUUGAGUAUAAACCGAUGAAUGAACCUUCAGAUCAUACUGGGGCCAAUGUUGUUCAAAGACAAUCCAUGAUCUAGUGCACUUCAGCAGCAAUUGAUGAGCAACGCUGCACUAGAAAGAUAUUUUCAUAUCUUCAUCUUAGGUUACUUUGUAAAACAUGGAUAUGACUCCGGACAGAUGUUAUCGGGUGAGUGCAUUUGAUGAACAUCGAACAUAUGCAUACCACAAGAUUUACGAUGGGACCAUCUAUUCUGAAGCUCAAAUGCGCACUUCACCGCAUGAAUAUGGGUGAUAACAUGAACAUCAUUGAUGAUGCCAAAGCAGUAUUUUCACGAUCUGAUUUGACAAGCUAAGAGGAAUCCAUAGAGAAAUACAUCGCGCUUACAAUGAUGAGCUGUUUACUGCAAAGCAUGAGAUCCAUGUCUGGAUGACUUGGCAGUUCCAUGAAGGCUGGUGACCAUACAUACUUGAAUGGUGUUUCAACCGAAGGCAAGUUCAUGACUGAUUAACAAACGUGAUGGGUGUUGGCAUGAUGCACACAAUCAAUCAGAGGAUAAUUCUCAGAAGAAUCCAGGAGAGAAAAUCUUCAUGAUGAAUCAAGCAUACACACUUGGGGGCAGGGUCAAGCUUGAUGAACGAUGCAAGCAGUAAUUGUCGAAGACAGCCCGGGAUGGGCACUGCAUUUACAGCUGAGUGGAUGGCUACACAUGAAUGAGCCAAUACAUCGGAAGAACAAAGAAAGCUUUGGGAUACAAACAAGGGCACCCUAUGACGAUGGAGCAUCAAAGAGGGGGACCUAUAUUUCAAAUCAGGUAAGGAUGCAUGCAUAUCAUCUAACCUAAAAAAAAAAAAAAACCAUUUGCACAUAUUUUUGAAUUGUUACAGGAAAAUCCUUAAUGAGGUCCAGCAAGAUGGUGGAAAAGAAAGAAGCAUUGUGGUGAUGAUAAUAAAGAAUCGGUUUUGAUCAUGGAAUAAAAGGACGAUGGGAUGAACCCUACCAUUAGGAAAAUCCCAAAGAAAUGAAUAGAUCAACCUUGCAAUCGGGAAGCCUCGAGUUCUCAACCCUUGCAGUCAGGAAACACCGAGUUUUUUUUUCAAACCCUAUGAUCGGGAAUUAUCAGGGAGCACCAAGUUUUCCAGCCCUUCUUCUAUCAUCCCCUCAGGACUUCGCCAGGUAAGUCCUAUUUUUCACACUUGUCAUAUCACAUUUUUUCCAUCUGGGUAGGUCACCCAUUACAAUGAGACCACACUUCAUAUUUUUCCAUUUCUGGGUAGGUCACCCAUUACAAUGAGACCGCACUUCACAUUCUUUCUAUCUGGGUAGGUCGCCCAUCACAACGAGACCACUUCAUCAUAUUUUUUCCAUCUGGGUAGGUCAUCCAUUACAAUGAGACCGCACUUCAUAUUCUUUCUAUUUGGGUAGGUCGCCCAUCACAACGAGACCACUUCAUCAUAUUUUUUCCAUCUGGGUAGGUCACCCAUUACAAUGAGACCGCACUUCACAUUUUUUCUAUCUGGGUAGGUCGCCCAUCACAACGAGACCACUUCAUCACAUUUUUUCCAUCUGGGUAGGUCACCCAUUACAAUGAGACCACAGUUCACAUUUUUUCCAUCUUGGCUAGGUCACCCAUCACAAUGAGACCAUCAUCUUUUCUGGGUAGGUCACCCAAAGAAUGAGACCAUUCUCCAUUUUUUUUACCUGGGUAGGUCACCCAUAAGAAUGAGGCCAUUCCUCUCCCUGGGUAGGUCACCCAAAGAAUGAGACCACUCUUCCUCUUUCCACUUGGGUAGGUCACCCAUCACAAUGAGACCACCAUUUUUUCUGGGUAGGUCACCCAUUAGAAUGAGACCAUUCUCCAUUUUUUUUUUACCUGGGUAGGUCACCCAUAAGAAUGAGGCCAUUCCUCCCCCUGGGUAGGUCACCCAAAGAAUGAGACCACUCUUCCUUUUUCCACUUGGGUAGGUCACCCAUCACAAUGAGACCACCAUUUUUUCUGGGUAGGUCACCCAUUAGAAUGAGACUAUUCUCCAUCUUUUUUUUUACCUGGGUAGGUCACCCAAAGAAUGAGGCCAUUCUUCCCCCUGGGUAGGUCACCCAAAGAAUGAGACCACUCUUCCACCUUUUCACUUGGGUAGGUCACCCAUUAUAAUGAGACCACUUUUUACAUAUUUUUUUGUUCCAGUUGAAUGAGGUCGCCAGAUGGGAUCUCAUGUAGCUUUGGUUAAAGGGAAUCUCCAUAUGGGAUUUCAGAUUGACCGAGUUACACACAUUCUUUGGUUUUGGUUAAAGGAGGUCGCCAGAUGGGAUCUCAGGAUAAUAAAAAAAAAAGAAAAAAAAAAGGGAAGAUUGCUGAUGAAGUGGAUAUUGAGCAAACAGAAAGACAAGUUUUUCUUUACAAAGCUUACUAUGCAAAACAUCGAGGAUUUUUGCUUCGUAAGCAUUCUAAAGAAGGGGCAUCUGUUGCUACCCAAUUUUUGACCUAUGUUUUUGAAAUAUUUUCAAAAAAAAUCCAAAAAUAGAGAAAAACAAAGAAAAUCAAAAAAAUAUGUUUUUUUAAUAUAUUUUCGUAAUUUUAGCAUUUUCAACGUCGUCUAAAAAAGAAUUUAAAUUUUUAAGGGUCUUUCGAACGCGUUCGACUUUUCACGCGUCAUUUUUUAAAAUCAUUGAUUUUCCGUAUUUGAGUCGACGUUGAUAUUGCUCGUUUUAAAAAAAAUACAAAAAAACAAGAAAAAUCAAAAUUUUACAAAAAAAGAAAGUUGACCAAUUUUUGAAAACUUGGCAAUAUUUUUUGCCUAUAAAUACUGGUCUUAAACCCACAUUCAAGGAGGGGUUUUCAUUUUUGCAAGGGGGCUAAUUUUGGAAAUACCAGAAAAAUAAAAAAUAAAAAAAAACCUAAACCUAUCUUCUCCCCCCACUUUUUUUCAAACAGCCGCCGGCCCCCCUUGGUCCAAGACCAUUAUUUUUCCAGCUGAAAAUCAGCAACUCAGCCCCCACCCAGGUCUUCUUUUCCUGGUUUUCCACCGACAAUGGAGGCCCCUUCUCACACUGAAAACUUGUAUUUCUUCUCAUCCCCAGCUUUGCAAAAGAAAAAAAAAUGAUGGGAGCCAUUUUUCGGGUCCCGGCAGUAGGGGGCAGCACCCACAGUCCCCAGUCCCGUUGGAGAUUUUCUUCUUCUCCCCUACAGCCGCUCACCCAAGGGAGCCCCUUAGCUCUUUGAUUUUCUUCCCCCCCUCAGCAGCCGGUUUUCACUACUCCCCUUCAUCACCAUUUUUUUUUUCCUUCUUCCCCAACACAGCCACACCGCCAGCCCUCUCACCCAAUCUCUCCAACACGCAGCCGCCUACACACAGACCCACCCCCCGGCCAUUUUCGUUUCUCUUCUCCCCAACAACAACCACAAAUCAGCUCCCUCCUCCACAGAUCCUCCCUCUCAGCUGCUCCCUUUGCUCUUCGCAGCUCUUGAGCCGGCCACCCUUGGCCACAAAAGAAAAAGCAGCCGCCACCCGAAGACCAGUCUCCGGUGUCCCUCCUCUUCUGCUCCCAGACCGCCGCUGAUCUCCCCACGACCGAAGAACCCAGCUCAGCCCCACGCCGGACAGAGACCAGCGCCGUCCCCCUUGAUCUCUUCCACAACAACCCGGUCGGCAGCGGAUCCAUCCCAUCGCCACAGUAGCUUCAGCGGCCACGGGCGACCUGCAACCGGCAGAGAACCCCCACAGAGAAGAAGGCGAAACCGAGAGGGGGGGGCAGAUCCAAAACGACGAAGGAAGAAAGAACCAAAAACAGAUUUGAAACCAAAGAAAAAUUUAAAAUCUACUGCUGUUUGUGCGUUGUUUCCCUUGUUGUAGGUGGCGGUGACCUCCACCGCCGGCGUGGGAAGACGGAGUAGAAGAAGACAUCCCGGACCCCUGUUCUUUUUUUUGUUUCUCACGGCGGCGCGUGAACCCACGCACCGCCAGUGGCGGUUGCACGUGGGGAGACACGCCGCCAGUGUUGUUCCGUGGUGCAGAUGGGCUUCAAUGCAAUUCUGGAGUUUUUAGGGACCAUUUUGUAAAUUUUAAAGUUUUAAUGUAAUUUUUGUUUAUUUAUUUUAAAUUUGUAAUAGUGAAUGUAAAAGAAAAAGAAGAAAUAAAAGAAAAUAAUAAAAAGAGAUGUGUGCUUGUUUGUAUUUUUAUUUAUGUUAUUAAAUUGUAAAAAUAAAGAAGGAUAAAAAGAAUUAAUUGUUAAUUUAAAUAUCGAUUAAAUAUCUUAAGGAUAAAUAAAAUCAAGUUGUAUUUUCCACGAAAAUGUAAGAACAAGUUUUUUUACAUAUAUUCGGGGAUUCAAUAACUGAUUUAUUCAAGCCUUAGAAUUUAAUUAAUAUUUUAAAUUUUCUUAAAUAUGGUUACAUAUUUCAAGGACAAAUAAAAUCAAGUUGUAUUUUCCAUGAAAAUGUAAGAACAAGUUUUUACAUAUAUUCGGGGAUUUAAUAACUAAUUUAUUCAAGCCUUAGAAUUUAAUUAAUAUUUUAAAUUUUCAAAUCACAUUAGAACACAAUGCAGCUUACCUCAGGUAGGGUGUGUUAGGGGUGCUAAUACCUUCCCUAACCACAACCAGUCCCUUACCCGCGAUCUCUGACAAGACUAGUACAUCAGGUUUCCUAGUAGCCCUCAAUGAAUUACUAGGUGGCGACUCCAACGAACAAAUUCAAAGCAAACGCAAAAACAAGAAUAAUCGCCAGCCCGAUGCCGCGUGCCGGAUGGAUUUUUUUUGGGGUGCGACAGCCUAGACGAUAGAUGAUUUCAUAGUCAUAACCCAUUAGCUUAGCAACCCAUUUCUGCUGUUCUAGAGUAGCUAUCCUCUGUUCUACAAAAUACUUGAGACUACGCUGAUCAGUUUGAAUGUAGAAUUUCUUGCCGAGAAGAUAAGGACGCCACAAUCUGAUAGCUUCCAAAAUUGCCAACAUCUCUUUAGCAUAUGUUGACCAUGAUUUCUUUGUGAUACCGAGGGCCCUGCUCAUGUACGCCAGCGGCUUGCCAAGUUGAGUGAGGACUGCACCUAUGCCAUCUCUAUAAGCAUCGGUGUCAAUGGUAAAUGCUUCGUUGAAAUUAGGCAUGGCCAAUAUGGGAGUAGUUGUCAUGGCCCGCUUGAGAGCAAGGAAAGCGGCUUCAGCUGCAUCAUUCCAUUGAAAUUGAUUCUUUUUGAGCAGAUUGGUAAGAGGCUGAGCAAUAACACCAUAGUUCUGAAUGAAUUUGCGAUAAUAUCUUGUCAAACCAAGAAAACCACGUAAAUCUGAAAACGUUAGUAGGCCGUGACCAUGCCACCAUAGCAGUAAUCUUGCUAUCAUCCACUUUGACACCAUGAUCGGUGAUAAUAUGUCCCAAAUAUUCAAGUUCGUGCUACCCGAAAGCACACUUGCUUUCCUUGACAUAGAACUGAUGCUGGCGUAGUAUUUCAAAUGUCUGUCGGACAUGCAGUAAAUGCUGGUCCCAGGUAGAACUAUAUAUCAAGAUGUCGUAAAAAAAAACCAAAAUAAAUUGACGAAGGUGAUGACGAAAUAUGGAGUUCAUGAUAGCCUAGAACGUAGAGGGCGCAUUACAUAGGCCAAAUGGCAUCACCAAAUAUUAAUAAUGUCCAUUAUGAGUGCGAAAUACAGUUUUAUGGACAUCUUGGGGAUUGACUCGUACCUGAUGAUAACCCGCUCGUAGAUCCAACUUGGUAAAGUAAGAAGCUCCGUAUAAUUCAUCUAACAUAUCCUCAACGGUUGGAAUUGGGAAACGAUCUUUAACAGUGGCAGCAUUGAGAGCUCGAUAAUCAGUACAAAACCUCUAGUUCCCUUCUUUUUUCUUCACUAACAACACAGGUGAUGAAAAGUGACUGGUACUUGGACGAACAAGCCCUGUGGUCAGCAUGUCCUGGACCUGUUUCUCAAUCUCAUUCUUCUGAAAGUGUGCGUACCUGUAUGGCCGAACAUUAACCGGUUCAGUUCCUUCCUUCAACGUGAUUCCAUGGUCAACAACCCUUGUUGGUGGUAAACUAGAAGGAGCAGCAAAUAUAUCUGAAAAUGCUUGCAACAAUUCCUUCAUGUGGGGAUGAACGGUGCCGUCUGAGUAAUUUGAAAACAUAAGGCAAACAAAGCUUGAUUCGGCCGAAGUGUUUGGACAACUCCUGCAGUGAUGUUUCCUGGAUGUCUUGUCUGCCAAUGCCAGUUAAUCGCCUAAGCUUGUUCUCCCAUAAGAAUUCCAUUGUCAGCCUUUUCCAAUCACACAUCACCGAACCCAGUAAUUCAAGCCAUUGAAUCCCCAACACUAUAUCCAGCCCUGUGAGGGGUAAAGAAUAAAGAGUCAAUGAAAAAACAACACCCUGUAGAUUCAAUGAUACCUCGUCAAAUCGCCCCCGACAUUGGAGACUAUCACUAUUGGCAACCUGUACUUUGAAGGGUUCUGUAGGCACCACUGGCAGCCUUAACAGGGUAGCAGUUCGCUCACUAAUGAAGUUGUGAGUAGAACCACUAUCUAUUAAAAUAAUGACGUUGCAGGAGCCAAUCAUAACUGAUACUCGCAUGGUCUUUGGCGCUGUCCAACCUAACAAGGCAUGCAAUGUAAUUGACGGACCUGUAAGCUCCUCAUAUUGCUCAUGAUUUAGGUGUUCGUCAAGAACAUUGUCACAUAACAACGUAUCAGUGUCAUUGCAACCUUCCAACAUAAGUAGGCAUGACCCUUGACACUUGUAACCUGCAGUAAAACGGUCAUUACAAUUGAAACAUAGAUUCUGGGCUCUCCUUCGUUGCAUUUCUUCCCAUGAUAACCGCCUGCUAGGAGUAGUAGGGUUAGACUGUGCGGCUUGGUUGCCAGGCGAAAGAGCCAUAGGUGGCCGCACUGAAGAAACUGGUCUGAUAAACCUCCUCUGACGGGUAAAUUGAUCAUCUUUCAUCCGUGCUAAGCUGAUGGCGUCUUUUAAAGUUUGUGGUUUGAACAUGCGAAUCCCAUCAGAAAUGUCUCUUUUUAAUCCACCCAUAAAUGUUCCCAUAAGAGCUUUUUGGGUCCAACCACGUACAUGAUUGCCAAGACGUUCAAAUUCACGUUGAUAGUCACGCAGCGAUCCUUCCUGACGGAUCCGUGAAAGAGCUUCAUCAAAAUCUUCACAGUCAGAAGGACCAAAUCGAGCCCAGAGUUCACCUUCAAAAUUAAUCCACGAAAGAACACGUCCUUCCUCUUGAAAUGUCCGGCGAAUCCAUUGCCACCACUGGUUGGCCUCUCCUUCCAAGUGAUAGGAAGCUAACGAUACCUUUUGCAUUUCGGGUGUACUUUGGAACUCAAAGAACUGGUUCACCCUAUUAAACCACUCCGUUGGAUCAUCUCCAGAAAAACAUGGAAAUUCAAGCUUCGCUGUUUUAGAAGAGACAACAAGUCGUCCUCCAGUGUGACCGUCACGAUGGGUGUUACCUUGAUUGGUAGACACGUGAUCUGCAAGGAGUACAUCAGAGAGUCGAGUAAUAGUUUCCUCUAAGUGAUGCAAUUUAUCUGUCAUGCCCAUCUCCAUCCGGUGUUCUAACUGUUCGAUACACUCUUUAUUGGUUCCCAUUGCUCUGAUACCAAUGAUAGGUCCCAACACAUAUAAUGAAGUGUUUAAUAAAAAUAAUGCAUUGCUUUCUCUUCAGGUGAGAAUAAACCUUUGUUCUGAAAUUAAUUGAUUACCACUAAUGACAACUGUGGUUGCUUAAAUAGCAAGACCACGUACACAUAGACUGAAAUAUAAUUGCAUGAAAUAAAAGUAACUAAGAUAGUGCCAGUUCUGUCAUCACAUUCGCACGUCACAUUUGCAUGUAAUGUUUCCCACGUAUUAUAUUCAACUGCCAACCAGCAUUCCCCACUCUGAACUCUGGACGUCGUGGCCUGUAUGCACGAUUAAUUACGUGCUGUAAACAUCUUGAAGUAUUUGGCAUUUGGCUUUAAGGCCUCUCUUUGAACGACGUGGUCUAUCAGUUACUGUGUGUGCAAGAAUUUCCAGAUGAUCGACCUACAAUGUUAGAAGUUGUGUUCAUGUUAGGUAAUGAGAUCACUCUUCCUUCUCCUAAGAAGCCAGCAUUUGUUUUACGAACACGCAGUGGACAAGACUUGCCACCAAUGUCUAGAAGAGAAGCUUGUUCUGUAAAUGAAGUUACAGUUACUGUGGUGGAAGCUCGCUGAAAUCCCAGUCUCUUGUAAUAAAUUUUCUCUAACAGGCAUUACAUAGAAGAUGGUUUGACUCAUCAUGGAUGUAUACAUGGCUUGCAAGCAAAACCAUAAAUAAUAAAAAGGAGAAUUUCAUUAUAUAAAUGGUUUUAGACAGUGCCACGUACGUUCUUGAAAAUUAAAAAACAAAAAAAAAAACAAAAAUCUUGGGAGUAGAUGAGAAUUAAAUGCGAAGUUGAUGCCCAGAAAGAGUUUCAAUAAAGACGCCUGUAGGACGGCCCACCUAGGAAAAUCACUCCAUUGGAAGCGUUCACAGGCUGCAAUUUUACAGAAAUUGAUUGUAAAAUUAUAAAAUCAUAAUUAAGAUUUUUCUUAUUGUGUAUAUCUACGCAUGUAGGAUUUUUUUUUUUUUUAUGUUGACAGCGAGGUUGUAAAAAACAAUUUUGGAUAUUACUAGAAAAAUACAAUACAAAUUCAAAAUCAUAGAUUGUAAAAUUAUAAAAUCAUAAUUAAAUUUUUUUAAUUAAUUAUAUAUUGACAAUUCCUCUAUAUUGUCAUAACAGGCCUUGUGUUGUGGUUUAGGAGAAGGCAUUGGGAGACUACGAUGGGAGAAACUGAGAGAGAGAGGGGUUCUGGUUUGGCUUUCUGAAGAUGAUGAGGGGGUGCUGUUCAUGGGUUUUCGAAGAAAGGUGAAGAAGAAGCUGUUGUUGGUGGUUUGAUAUCACUGGUUUUGUUAUGGUGGAGAUGGUUGAGUCUGAGAAGGGAAAUGGUGGAGUCUGAGAAAUUUUCUGUGUUUUGAUUUAUUUUUUUAUCUGCUUCCAACGCUGAAUAUUUUUUUAUCUGCCCCUGGAAAUCUUUGAUCUGCCUCCCCUCUUCUUCUUUUUUUUUCUUUUUGGUUUUUUCCUGUGAGGAAUGUAUUUAUAGUAAAGAGUUUUAAACAAAUAUUUUUUUUAAAAAAAAAUUAUUUAAAAUUUAAAAUUAAAAGAACUCAAAAUAUUCAGAACCUCAUGCAUCAGAGAGUUUCAGUGCAAGCUCUAGACUAGACCGCUGAUCUCUCAAUGAUCAAGAAGCUUCAUUCUCCGUUGAAUCUCAAUCUCUUAGAAAUUAUCCAUUUAACUUUCAUUUAAAAAUAUUUGCCUUAAAAUGACGCUUACUAGUCAAUUGAAUUUUAUUUUUUUUGUGAUACUGAACUUUUGAGCCCAGAAAUUAAGGCGCUUACUUAGUCGAUCAAUUGAAAAUGACAAUACAAAAUAAAAAUCCCGACUCUACUAGAGGUGGUUACUAAUUCCCCAAAGAAUAAGCUGAUCACUAGCCAUCACCAUGCAUCCCUGUAAAAUCACUAGCCAUCAAUUGAAAGUAAGGCGGCUAGUCAAUUGAAAAUCACUAGCCAUCAUCAUGGCUGAUGCAUCCCUGUAAAAUAUUUCUCAUUUCAUUGCUUGAAUGCCUUCUUCUCCAAAUUUUCCUGUCCACAGACAAUGUUAAGUUUUAAUGAGUCUCCAGAGGAGGAAACUUCCCUUCGGGAUAAUCCUAUCAAUGAUACCUCUGGAGUGCUCAGAGUCAAUGGUCAAGAUAACCUCCUCCUAUACGGCAAAAACACCAAGUUAACUAGUCCUGUCUGGUUCACACAUGCUUCAGUCUCAUCACCCAGCAACUCUAUGGCUCAACUUCUAAAUUCAGGAAACCUUGUUCUGACUCAUUCCAAGAGGCAUCAGUCUCAUGGAAAAGUAUUGAUCAUCCUACCAAUACCAUGCUUCUUUUUGCAACACUUGGACGUUUGGAUAGGAAAACUGGUCAACAGGUUUUUAACAUCUUGGAAGUUCCUAAAUGAUUCAGGAACUAGUGAUUUUGCGAGUAUUUAUUUUUAUUAUCAUAUAAUUAAGUAAGAAAUAGUUUAAAAAACAAAGUUAUUAAAUUUAGUGGAGUCCAUGACUCGGUUCACGGGUUAAGAUGCGAAGCCCAACUCGAUUCAAUAUGUCGGUGUCUCAAAAAACAUUUUAUAAAAUGUCAUCUUGAAAUUUGUUUUAAAGUCAAACCAUGUUUUUACAUGUUAUUUGAGUUGCUUUUGAAUACGUAAAGUCGAUUAGGACAUAUUGAGGCAACUUCCACACAAUUUAAUUUGAAACCCCAGUUAAAAGAAAAGUCGAAUCGAAAGGUUUCAUUGUUGACUCACUAAACUGGAUUUAAUAAUAUUGCUAGAAAUUUUCAUGAGGCUUGAAUAUAUUUUUUACAUUAAAAAAAAAUUGAUCCAAGCAAGCUCAACUAAACAUUCCUAACUAUUAAAAUGAAUCUCUUCAUCAUUUAAAGUCAAAGUAGACAAAUAUGCCUCAAUAGUCUCCCAAUUUAAAUCCUCUUUAUCAAGAAAGCUAAGUUCUUCACAAAUCUACUCAUUCAAUAAUUCAAUAUUAUCAAGGCUAAUGAGAUAUAAAGUAUCUUUUUUUUCAUCUUAAAUUCCUACAAAAUACAAACGUAUAGGAAUCUCUCUCCUAAAAUGGUUUAGAAUAUUUCUCACUUGUGGUUCGUGUGAAAUAAUGUUACAGACCAAACAAUUGGACGGCUUGUGAUUUGCGAUAACUCAGCUUUAAGAAACUUUUUCAAAAUAAAUAAAAAAUAUUUAAUCUUCAGGUAAUCUUCGUAUAAAACCUGAAAAACACUAUAUUUAUCUAACAAAAACUUUGGAACUAUCGAAAAAUCUUAAAUUUAUUAUUUACGCUGCCUGUAUGCGUUUUGGGAAACCCAACACAUUCACCAUUUUCUUGUUGUCUUUGCAUGUCAUUGUGUCAUACAUAUUUGAAAUAGUUAUAGCAAGGAAUUGAAAACUAUUUGGGAAUGUAUAGAAGCCAACUAGGGUGCUAUAUGUGUCGGGAUUGUCUUACAUCGAAUUUGUUUUCAAGAAUCAAUAACAUUUUCGUAUCUCACUAGUGAUUUAACAAACUAAAAAUCGACAAGAUUUUUCUUUUAAUACGCAAUCAGCUCACAAGAGUUGUGCAAACUUGGGACCAAAACAAAUCUCACCAGAAAAAAGCAACUAGCAAGAUAGAUAUCUUUUUGUCACAAAACCAAAAUUAACUUAUAUUUUCUUUUUUGCUUGAUCCAUUGCUUUAUAUAUUAAACUCAUAAUUGGUUUCUUAUAUGAAUCAACUAAUUUAAGAACUUUAAUUAGAGGAUAUGUUGCUUUAAUACAUAUAGUGACAUCAUGCUAGAACCUACUAUCCAAAACAUAGUUUUGAAUUUGUUUCCCUUCUUCAAUUCUUGAAAACCUACAUGACCUUCACUAUUUAGAAGUAAACAUAGGCAUUAGCUGUAUUUUAUGAUCAAUCAAACAUCCUAGAAUCAAAUAUGCAGUAGCAAAUCGAGCAGCAGCAGCCCUAAUCAAAUCCUAUCCUUUUGUAAAGUGCCUUAGGAUGAAAAUAAGUAUAGUACUUGAAUAAAUAUAUGAGGUGACUCUCAUUCGCUUAGCAAUAGUUACUUGAUAAACCUCUAGCUUCUUCUCAAAAAUUUUCAAUGUCAAGUCAAUACAAGAAGCAUCACAUGGUGUCCAAAAUAGCUUUUUUUAUUUUUUCCAAUCAAUAAUUGUCCUGUUGCCUUAUAAUUUGCAGCGUUAUUGGUCAUUACUUACACAACAUUUUCCUAUAUUUAGUUCUAAAAGUGCUGGUUUUGUUAAUUAGAAAGGCCAUAAAAUUUCUUGAAAAUGAAAAUAGUUGGUAAAUUCAAAAUUCAUGAAUCCUUUGAUUUUGUUCUAUUUUAAUUUCUAUUAACCAAUGGCAGAUUGCAUAUUGUAGUGAUGGUUUGUUUAAAAUUUGGAACAUUGGAAAGACUUUAAGAAACAGAGGCUAGGAUGUUAGGUUUUUGAUUUUGUGGUGCAGUUACUGUAUUAUAUAUAUAUAUAACUGGGUUUAAAAUCGUGAUUUUACAUGAUUUUAAAGAUUUAAUAUGAUUUUAUCACUUUUUAAAUUUUAAAAUUGAUUUGAUAUAAUAAAUAUAUUGACUUAUAUAAUUUUACAAGUUAACUCGUAGUAUCGUUAUGGCCUUUCAAGUGGUCAUUUAAUACACGGCUGGCUCCCCUGAGCAACCCUAAUAAUCGGUCAAGAAAAAUUCUAUGAAGCGUUAGUAGUUGGCUUUUUGGCUCCAAUCAUUAAAACCCCAACUGCACUACCAAGUCAUUUACUCACCCCACCAACACACAAUCAUUGAAACAAAUUAUGAAUCCUAUAGAAAGGUUUUUGAGUAUAUUGUUUCUCUUCCUUGUUUUUCCUUCUUGCUUAUCUAUUGACAUCAUAGCUCCAAACCAGUCAAUCAAAGAUGGAGAUGUUCUGGUCUCUAGUGGACAAAGCUAUGAACUCGGGUUCUUUAGCUCAGGCAUCAAUCCUACUCGUCGUUAUGUGGGAAUUUGGUACCAUAGUACUAAGGUUUCAGAACCAACUGUUGUAUGGGUGGCAAAUAGAGAUAAUCCUAUCAAUGGUACCUCCGGAGUCCUAGCUAUCAACAAACAAGGUAACCUUGUAAUUUAUGAAAAUAACCGAAGUAGUGUUCCUGUUUGGUCUUCAAAUGCUCCAGCCUCAAUAUCAAUGACAAAUUGCACGGCUCAGCUCCUGGAUUCAGGAAACUUGGUCUUAGUUCAACAGGAUAGCAAAGGGAUCUUGUGGCAGAGUUUUGAUCAUGGUACAGAUACUCUGCUUCCUGGUAUGAAGGUUGGGCUGGACCUGAAAAUCGGUUUGAACCGGUCUCUGUCAUCUUGGAAGUCCAAAGAUGACCCGGGAACCGGAACCAUUUUUUCUAUGGUAUUGAUCCAAGGGGGUUUCCCCAGUUGUUCCUAUACAAGGGUCAAAUCCCAUGGUGGCGUAGCGGACCAUGGACUGGAC
rnacentral:lncRNA from 1 species